ACUGAGAAAUUUGGGAGCGCUGAUCUCUAUCUUAUCUGCGUGUAAAUGAUUUGUUUGCCCUGUGCAGUACUUGAGUUGUAGCUGUUACAAUCUCUUUACGAAGCAAGUCAACACCUGCCCUGGCACCUGCAGACAUGUGAGUCACCACCACAGCAUGGCUGCUAAUAGACUAGUGGUGGAGGUCCACACCCGGGAUCUGAACCCAGGCUGCUGAAGCAGAGCAUGCUGAACUUAACCAGUAGGCCGCCGGGACUGGCCCUGAUUUGAUGCUUUAUUCAUCAGUUAACAAACAUGUAUCAAGCACCUUCUAUGCUCCUGACACUCUUCUAAAUGCUGAGUACUGAGUGGGGACAGGAAUUAUGAUCCCUGAUUUUCCAAUGAGGGAACAGAGACCCCCAAGACAGAGAGGCAAAGGGCCUUGCUCAGCAUGGAGGACGGAAGACUCCCAGGCCAGGGCAGGGAGGGAAGGCGAUUUGCCUGAAGCCACCAUUGCUGCCCUUCCCCCUCCUCUAGAAAGAAGCGGAUUCUGUGCCCACCAGGUUACAAUAACCACAGCUCACACGCGUAUGGCCCCCUUCUCCCUCCCCAGCCCGGAUGCUCGCGGCUCCUCCGAGCCUCAGUUUCCAUCUGUAAAAUGGGCAUCACUGGAGUGGAGGCGGGCCACGAGUGUGUGUGUGAGUCGGGACGGCCGGGCGCCG
rnacentral:lncRNA from 1 species